GCUACAGGCUUAACACAUGCAAGUCGAGGGGCAGCAUGGUCUUAGCUUGCUAAGACUGAUGGCGACCGGCGCACGGGUGAGUAACACGUAUCCAACCUGCCGUCUACUCUUGGACAGCCUUCUGAAAGGAAGAUUAAUACAAGAUGGCAUCAUGAGUCCGCAUGUUCACAUGAUUAAAGGUAUUCCGGUAGACGAUGGGGAUGCGUUCCAUUAGAUAGUAGGCGGGGUAACGGCCCACCUAGUCUUCGAUGGAUAGGGGUUCUGAGAGGAAGGUCCCCCACAUUGGAACUGAGACACGGUCCAAACUCCUACGGGGGGCAGCAGUGAGGAAUAUUGGUCAAUGGGCGAGAGCCUGAACCAGCCAAGUAGCGUGAAGGAUGACUGCCCUAUGGGUUGUAAACUUCUUUUAUAAAGGAAUAAAGUCGGGUAUGGAUACCCGUUUGCAUGUACUUUAUGAAUAAGGAUCGGCUAACUCCGUGCCAGCAGCCGCGGUAAUACGGAGGAUCCGAGCGUUAUCCGGAUUUAUUGGGUUUAAAGGGAGCGUAGAUGGAUGUUUAAGUCAGUUGUGAAAGUUUGCGGCUCAACCGUAAAAUUGCAGUUGAUACUGGAUAUCUUGAGUGCAGUUGAGGCAGGCGGAAUUCGUGGUGUAGCGGUGAAAUGCUUAGAUAUCACGAAGAACUCCGAUUGCGAAGGCAGCCUGCUAAGCUGCAACUGACAUUGAGGCUCGAAAGUGUGGGUAUCAAACAGGAUUAGAUACCCUGGUAGUCCACACGGUAAACGAUGAAUACUCGCUGUUUGCGAUAUACUGCAAGCGACCAAGCGAAAGCGUUAAGUAUUCCACCUGGGGAGUACGCCGGCAACGGUGAAACUCAAAGGAAUUGACGGGGGCCCGCACAAGCGGAGGAACAUGUGGUUUAAUUCGAUGAUACGCGAGGAACCUUACCCGGGCUUAAAUUGCAGAUGAAUUACGGUGAAAGCCGUAAGCCGCAAGGCAUCUGUGAAGGUGCUGCAUGGUUGUCGUCAGCUCGUGCCGUGAGGUGUCGGCUUAAGUGCCAUAACGAGCGCAACCCUUGUUGUCAGUUACUAACAGGUUCCGCUGAGGACUCUGACAAGACUGCCAUCGUAAGAUGUGAGGAAGGUGGGGAUGACGUCAAAUCAGCACGGCCCUUACGUCCGGGGCUACACACGUGUUACAAUGGGGGGUACAGAGGGCCGCUACCACGCGAGUGGAUGCCAAUCCCCAAAACCUCUCUCAGUUCGGACUGGAGUCUGCAACCCGACUCCACGAAGCUGGAUUCGCUAGUAAUCGCGCAUCAGCCACGGCGCGGUGAAUACGUUCCCGGGCCUUGUACACACCGCCCGUCAAGCCAUGGGAGCCGGGGGUACCUGAAGUGCGUAGCCGCGAGGAGCGCCCUAGGGUAAAACUGGUGACUGGGGCUAAGUCAUAACA
rnacentral:rRNA from 1 species